rnacentral:rRNA from 1 species
GUGGGGAAUUUUGGACAAUGGGCGAAAGCCUGAUCCAGCAAUGCCGCGUGUGUGAAGAAGGCCUUCGGGUUGUAAAGCACUUUUGUCCGGAAAGAAAUCCUUUGGGUUAAUACCUCGGAGGGAUGACGGUACCGGAAGAAUAAGGACCGGCUAACUACGUGCCAGCAGCCGCGGUAAUACGUAGGGUCCGAGCGUUAAUCGGAAUUACUGGGCGUAAAGCGUGCGCAGGCGGUUUUGUAAGACAGAUGUGAAAUCCCCGGGCUUAACCUGGGAAUUGCAUUUGUGACUGCAAGGCUAGAGUGUGUCAGAGGGGGGUAGAAUUCCACGUGUAGCAGUGAAAUGCGUAGAGAUGUGGAGGAAUACCGAUGGCGAAGGCAGCCCCCUGGGAUAACACUGACGCUCAUGCACGAAAGCGUGGGGAGCAAACAGGAUUAGAAACCCCAGUAGUCC